UGCAGUCGAGCGGACAGAUGGGAGCUUGCUCCCUGAUGUUAGCGGCGGACGGGUGAGUAACACGUGGGUAACCUGCCUGUAAGACUGGGAUAACUCCGGGAAACCGGGGCUAAUACCGGAUGCUUGUUUGAACCGCAUGGUUCAAACAUAAAAGGUGGCUUCGGCUACCACUUACAGAUGGACCCGCGGCGCAUUAGCUAGUUGGUGAGGUAACGGCUCACCAAGGCAACGAUGCGUAGCCGACCUGAGAGGGUGAUCGGCCACACUGGGACUGAGACACGGCCCAGACUCCUACGGGAGGCAGCAGUAGGGAAUCUUCCGCAAUGGACGAAAGUCUGACGGAGCAACGCCGCGUGAGUGAUGAAGGUUUUCGGAUCGUAAAGCUCUGUUGUUAGGGAAGAACAAGUACCGUUCGAAUAGGGCGGUACCUUGACGGUACCUAACCAGAAAGCCACGGCUAACUACGUGCCAGCAGCCGCGGUAAUACGUAGGUGGCAAGCGUUGUCCGGAAUUAUUGGGCGUAAAGGGCUCGCAGGCGGUUCCUUAAGUCUGAUGUGAAAGCCCCCGGCUCAACCGGGGAGGGUCAUUGGAAACUGGGGAACUUGAGUGCAGAAGAGGAGAGUGGAAUUCCACGUGUAGCGGUGAAAUGCGUAUAGAUGUGGAGGAACACCAGUGGCGAAGGCGACUCUCUGGUCUGUAACUGACGCUGAGGAGCGAAAGCGUGGGGGAGCGAACA
rnacentral:rRNA from 1 species